CAGAGGUCAUCCAGAGAAAAUAUAUGAUAUUUUCAGCAGAUGUCUACAUCCUUAUUUCUUCAGGUACUGUAAAAUGAAACAGCAUACAACUCAUGAUCAUUCUGCCCUACCAACACGUAUCUUCAUUUGGAAAGACACCCAUUUUCACUGCAGUGCCAAUACAACAGGAAAAAGUGUGCAUUUUGGGCAAAGCAUGUGGUUGUCCCAGAAAACUUCUAAAAUUGCAUGGACUCUGUUCUGUUUCAUACUGUUUAGGUUUCCUUAGUUUGUAGCUAUGCAGUAAUAGGUUGUAUUCCACCUUCAGACUGGGAGAUGUCCUACAGAAAUGUCUUUUAAUAUCCUCCAUGGUUGGAUUUCAUGUGUAUGAUCGAUGUGCACUCUUGCUUACUGUCAAAGUUUAUUCCUCGCAGAUAACAAACACUCUGGCUGCAGGCAGAUUCAGCCCAGUGCUAUGGAUAUUUCCAGCAGCUGAGAAUGAACUGGCAGGUCCGGAGAGAGAAGACGACACCCAGCUGACAGGGCAGGGCAGAACAGCAGCUGGGUGAGGCUGGGGCUGGCCUCAGCAGGUCAGACCACUUCCCACCAGCUCUGUGACGCAGCCAGCGUGCUGCGCCUGGCGGCCUGUGCUUCUGAGACCUCUGCUCUUCUGCCUCCUUCUCUCCUACCUCCACACACUGCUGCCAUUUCUUAAAUAUGGUUUUACAGUGGCAGCAUGUACGGCCCAUCAGGGCUUCAGCCUGAUGGAACAGUGUGUCUGUUUUGUCUAUUGGGAAACCAGCUGCAAUUGGCAGUCCCAGGCCUCCUCCUGCAGGUGCCACUCCUGCUAACAAAACGUUGCCAGUUAUUCCCAGCAUGGAAGCAUGCAAACACCAAAUCUGUGACAUGGAGAAAAACAAAGCAGCAGGCAGCUCCUUGAACUCCUUUGCCUCUUUGUCCUGUGAGAAGCCCGGAAAGACUGAAAUACACUGUUGGGAAACUUCACGCUGAGUGUCUGCUCAGUGAAGAUCCAAGGCACUCCUCUACUGCAGCUGUAAAGCGUGGCAGGUUCUUCUUUUUGGAGCCUCUGAUUGAAUUAGCUGAUUCCUCAAACAAAAUGGAAGAGAUUUUUCUCUGACCCGGCUAAGGAAGAAACUGUAAAUCUGGCAGCCAUCAUUCACCUUCAUCUGCAGCACUUUGCCAGAGCAACAGAUUGCAGAUACAUGGACUUCUCUACCUGCAGGCUAUGCACACUAGUACAGCGGUGUGAUAAGAGCUUCUCCGUGCCCUUCUCUCAAGUGUCCCUGAUGUUAGGAGCUUCGGAAUGCUUGUUGUGCCAGCAGACAGAGCAGAUCAUCCAUCUGCGCACACUAUGUGCACGUGUUAUCCCAGCUACCCCCUGGUGCUUGUGCCAGACUCAGGCACUCCCUGCAGCCUGAGACUUGGACAGCCAUGUGCGAGCCUCCGUUCUGAAGCUGAUCUGCUGAAGGACUUCCUUUCAAGUGAGACAGUUCUAGUUACUUUCUUUACAUUAAAUUGCAGGGAAGAAAAGCUCCCACAACACUGGAAGCUCAGCAGUUUAUUUAUUGGUGUCAUGCGCGGGCAGGCUGUGUUCACACCUCCAUUUCCUACCUGUGGGAAUGUCACUGUGCUAUCCCUUCUCAGUUUUCUCUUGGCAGGAGCCACCCUGCUUGCAGAGUGAUGCUGGGCCUAGAGGGUGGUAGUUGUUGCCCCACAGUUCUGCUGGGACAUUGUUGCUGCCUUCUUGUCAAGGGAGUCCCAGGCAUGGUGCUGCUGUGCUGUGCUGGCUUUGCACAUUCUUGGAUCCCGUGUUGUUUUGAGUCGGGCUCUUGAUCCCUGGACAUCAGGUCAAGUGACAACAGCAAAACAUUUGUUCACCUUUCUGUAGCUGAGAUAGUGGAGGCUCGGAGAGUUCUGGACAAGCUGCAGGUGUCCCUUUCCUUUUGGGCAGGGUGACUCCUUGUGCUUGCUGAAGUAGUAGAUCUGGACCCUAAAUGUAAGUGCAUUGAUGGUUUCUAAAGGUGACUAUUCUAAUUGCUUACGUUGCAUUUCAGUGGGGGAAAGAAAAGCUCACAAAGCACAUGAAACUCAGCAGUUUUUGGUUCAUUUGUGUCAUGUGCAGGCUGGAUGUGCUCACACCUCCCUUUCCUAAUGGUUUGAAUGUCACUGUGCCUCACUCCAUUUCAGGUUCUACUUGGUUGGGAGCCAACCCGCUUGCAAGGAGGUGGGUCUGUGGAGUGGUAGUUGACACCCCCCAGUUCUGCUGGGACCCUGUUACUGCCUUCUUGUCAAGGGAAUCCCAGGCAUGGUGCUGCUGUGCUGUGACGGCUUUGCUGGAGGUGUUUUCAUGGGACAGUGGGUGGCGAGGUGUCUCCUUGCAUUGGAGGCUGUGCUCACACCUCCGUUUCCUACCUGUGGGAAUGUGACUGUGCUGUCCCAUCUCAGUUUCCUUUCGGUCAGAGCCAGCCCACUUGUAGAGAGAUUUUGUGCCUAGGGUGUGGUAGUUGUGCCAGUUCUGCUGGGACGUUGUUGCUGCCUUCUUGUCAAGGGAAUCCCAGGCGUGGUGCUGCUGUGCUGUGCCGCCUUUGCACAUCCUUGGAUCCCGUGUUGUUUUGAGCUGGGCUUUUGAUCUUUGGGUUUCUGGUCUUCCGACAUGCCACAGGAAGUGGCAGCAUUCAUUUAUACUUUGGUGUUCUGUGCCUAUUCAAGUGUUCCUUGAGCUGUGUGGCCAAUAAAGUCAGCAAGCUGCUCACAGUCCAUGGAUUUCUGUUUUCAUAGGGCUGGGGAAAAUGGGUGGUGAGGUGUCUCCUUGCAUUAGGAGGCAGCACUUGAGUGGCAGACAAUUCUUGCAGUUAAAUAUAGCUGAUAUGGGUGUGGGAGGUGUUGUUGCUAUUGAAAGAAGGAGGAUGUUUGGAGGACUGGCUGUGGGCUCCUUUCCUUGGUCUUCUACCCCCUUGGACAUUUUACCUGCCUGUGAAAAAGGCUUGAACACAGAGACAGCCCUCUACAUUCCCUUCUAUUUGCUGGUCUUGGGCACUGAUGUCUUGUAUUCUAAAGAUUUUGUCCUGAAUGUUCAAAUGUUUCUUCUACAAUUGUUUAGUAUCCCUUUCAUUCCUUAGUGAGCUGUUUUUUGGUAUAGUGCAGAAAUGUUUGCAGUAACUCUUCUGAAAGUUUUAUGUUAUCAGGAGGCCACAGUGGUGGUAGUGUAUCAAGGAAGUAGAUGUUUAUUAGUGUUUCCACCUCUUGAUAUUGUUUUACUCUUUGUAAUUAACCAUUUCAUUUGAAACUUAAUGUAUUGUGUUGCAAUUAACCAUAGUGAGGUGUUCUAAAUACUGUUGGUUAUGUAGCAAUAGACUGCUAAUAAUGAACAAACAGUUCUUUCUCUAUAUGAAAUUUCAGUAUUUACUUAACUUUUCCAAGAGCUCUUCAGUCAUUAGAAGAAUUUCUGACAUUGGUUCUGAUUUUUUGAAAAAAAUAUUCCAUCCAUAUCAACAGGAUUUAAAAGAUGAUAAA